GGGCCCGCACAAGCGGUGGAGCAUGUGGUUUAAUUCGAUGAUACGCGAGGAACCUUACCAGGGCUUAAAUGGGAAAUGACAGGGGCAGAGACGCCCCCUUCUUCGGACAUUUUUCAAGGUGCUGCAUGGUUGUCGUCAGCUCGUGCCGUGAGGUGUCGGGUUAAGUCCCUUAACGAGCGCAACCCCUAUCUCUAGUUGCCAGCGGAUAAUGCCGGGGACUCUAGAGAAACUGCCCGUGCAAACGGUGAGGAAGGUGGGGAUGACGUCAAAUCAUCACGGCCCUUACGUCCUGGGCUACACACGUGCUACAAUGGUCGGUACAGAGGGCAGCUACCACGUGAGUGGAUGCAAAUCUCGAAAGCCGAUCUCAGUUCGGAUUGAAGUCUGCAACUCGACUUCAUG
rnacentral:rRNA from 1 species